UUCUGCCCCUAGGAGAGAAGUUAAAAAAAGCUGGUCACAUUUGUCACCCUGGCUGGUGGCCUGGGAGGGCUGUUUUUCCAGGCAGCACUGCGCUGGGGUCCCUCCAGAGAGGUUGAACGGCCUGCACUUGAGUGGAAAACCCACCAGCACCCCAGCACUGGGACCGUCCAUCCCCUCCAGAGUCCCCGUGUUGUUCAAGAGUUCGCUGAUCAAAGGGGAAAAUAGCUCUUGAUAAUCCUAAUAGGCUUCUCAGUUGCCAAUAGGUGCUCAAAAAUAUUUACACAAUUACAGAGCAAGCUGGAUUCUUCAAAUAAAUGAUAUGAGGAAAAAUCUGGCGAUCAGAUCUGCUGGAGAGUGGGACACGUGGAAUGCAGAGAAGCAGGAGGAGAGAGAGAAGAGGGGCAUCUUUGCCUCCAGUAACUUCUCACUUGGGAACCUUCAGACCCAAAUCUCCUUUCUUCCCUAUUUGCUGUCUUUCUUUCUAUUUCCUGCCUCGUGUUUGCUUUUAUUAACAUCCCUUCCAUUUUCCUUGGUUGCUCUCGAACGUAUUGCGCUAAAGGGCAGAGGGCUUGAAUCCCCUUGCUGUCCCUAGCAGGGGACACACCAUGUCUUCUCUGGGCAGAAGCUGCACAGGCUCUUGGUGCUUCACCACUGGAAAUUUACUGAUACAACGGGGCCCUCAGAAAAUCUGGGCAAAAUAGAAAAUCAAGCUAGACAUAAAUGCCGAAUAAAGGGAAGAAGGUGAUGUUUGGGCAGAAAGCCAGAGUUUCAUCAUUUGAGCCAUUUCAGAAGUAAAGUAUGAGCCCGCU